CCUACGGGUGGCAGCAGUCGAGAAUCAUGCACAAUGGGGGAAACCCUGAUGGGGCGACGCCGCGUGGGGGAAUGAAGGUCUGCGGAUUGUAAACCCCUGUCAUGUGGGAGCAAAUUAAAAAGAUAGUACCACAAGAGGAAGAGACGACUAACUCUGUGCCAGCAGCCGCGGUAAUACAGAGGUCUCAAGCGUUGUUCGGAAUCACUGGGCGUAAAGCGUGCGUAGGCUGUUUCGUAAGUCGUGUGUGAAAGGCGCGGGCUCAACCCGAGGACGGCACAUGAUACUGCGAGACUAGAGUAAUGGAGGGGGAACCGGAAUUCUCGGUGUAGCGGUGAAAUGCGUAGAUAUCGAGAGGAACACUCGUGGCGAAGGCGGGUUCCUGGACAUUAACUGACGCUGAGGCACGAAGGCCAGGGGAGCGAAAAGGAUUAGAUACCCCAGUAGUC
rnacentral:rRNA from 1 species